CGGGAACAGGUAUAUUGUCACUCGGCUGUGGAACGACGAAGCUCCCCUUUGCAGCAGAAUGAAGUUGAUUUCACUCUUGAUGGCCCUGGUUGUGGCCCUGUCUGGCCUCCUGGGUUCAGCUCGUGCCAUGCCUGGCCCCUUCCCUGUGGCUGACCCCGUGGCUGACCCUGACCCCGUGGCUGACCCCGGGUUCUUCAAGCGCAAGCACUACUACCCCCGUCGUCGCUACUAUCCCCGCUACCAUUACUGGUGAACACAAGGAAACGUUUUUUUCUACCUUAAAAACGUUUAUUCGAACAGCAUAUAUCUGAAUUUAUAUAUCAACAUACGAUUCUCAUGUCUUGUUAGUACCCGCGUGUAAUAAAAUCCUGAUGUAUAUUA